rnacentral:rRNA from 1 species
UACGAAGGGGGCUAGCGUUGUUCGGAUUUACUGGGCGUAAAGCGCACGUAGGCGGCUCGAUCAGUCAGGGGUGAAAUCCCAGAGCUCAACUCUGGAACUGCCUUUGAUACUGUCGAUCUGGAGUAUGGAAGAGGUGAGUGGAAUUCCGAGUGUAGAGGUGAAAUUCGUAGAUAUUCGGAGGAACACCAGUGGCGAAGGCGGCUCACUGGUCCAUUACUGACGCUGAGGUGCGAAAGCGUGGGGAGCAAGCAGG